rnacentral:rRNA from 1 species
UACGUAGGGUGCAAGCGUUGUCCGGAAUCAUUGGGCGUAAAGCGCGCGUAGGUGGCUUCGUAAGUCCGUUGUGAAAGUCAAAGGCUCAACCUUUGAAUGCCGAUGGAUACUGCGGAGCUAGAGUACGGAAGAGGCGAGUGGAAUUCCUGGUGUAGCGGUGGAAUGCGUAGAGAUCGGGAGGAACAUCAGUGGCGAAGGCGGCCAUCUGGGACAACACUGACGCUGAGGCACGAAAGCGUGGGGAGCAAACAGG